rnacentral:rRNA from 1 species
CCCCCCACACUGGUACUGAGACACGGACCAGACUCCUACGGGAGGCAGCAGUGAGGAAUAUUGGUCAAUGGGCGCGAGCCUGAACCAGCCAUCCCGCGUGCAGGAUGACGGCCCUAUGGGUUGUAAACUGCUUUUCUACGCCAAGAAACCCUGUUACGUGUAACAGGUUGCCGGUAGCGUAGGAAUAAGCAUCGGCUAACUCCGUGCCAGCAGCCGCGGUAAUACGGAGGAUGCAAGCGUUAUCCGGAUUCAUUGGGUUUAAAGGGUGCGCAGGUUGGCUUGUAAGUCAGUGGUGAAAUACUGCCGCUUAACGGUAGAAUUGCCAUUGAUACUGCGGGUCUUGAGUAUGGUUGAGGUAGGCGGAAUGUGUUGUGUAGCGGUGAAAUGCAUAGAUAUGACACAGAACGCCGAUUGCGAAGGCAGCUUACUAAGCCAUUACUGACGCUGAGGCACGAAAGCGUGGGGAGCGAACAGGAUUAGAUACCCUGGUAGUCCACGCUGUAAACGAUGUUCACUCGCUGUUUGCGAUACACAGUAAGCGGCUGAGCGAAAGCAUUAAGUGAACCACCUGGGGAGUACGAUCGCAAGGUUGAAACUCAAAGGAAUUGACGGGGGCCCGCACAAGCGGAGGAACAUGUGGUUUAAUUCGAUGAUACGCGAGGAACCUUACCUGGGCUUAAAUGUAGAUUGCAUAACUUAGAAAUAGGUUUUCCCUUCGGGGCUAUUUACAAGGUGCUGCAUGGUUGUCGUCAGCUCGUGCCGUGAGGUGUCGGGUUAAGUCCCAUAACGAGCGCAACCCCUACUGUUAGUUGCCAUCGGGUGAAGCCGGGGACUCUAGCGGGACUGCCACCGUAAGGUGAGAGGAAGGUGGGGAUGACGUCAAAUCAGCACGGCCCUUAUGUCCAGGGCUACACACGUGUUACAAUGGCCGGUACAAAGGGCAGCUACACAGCGAUGUGAUGCUAAUCCCAAAAGCCGGUCCCAGUUCGGAUUGGAGUCUGCAACCCGACUCCAUGAAGUUGGAUUCGCUAGUAAUCGCGCAUCAGCCAUGGCGCGGUGAAUACGUUCCCGGGCCUUGUACACACCGCCCGUCAAACCAUGGGAGCUGGGGGUGCCUGAAGUCUGUAGCCG